AAACGAUGAAUACUCGCUGUUGGCGAUACACAGUCAGCGGCUAAGCGAAAGCGUUAAGUAUUCCACCUGGGGAGUACGCCCGCAAGGGUGAAACUCAAAGGAAUUGACGGGGGCCCGCACAAGCGGAGGAGCAUGUGGUUUAAUUCGAUGAUACGCGAGGAACCUUACCUGGGCUUGAAAGUUAGUGAAUGUACCAGAGAUGGUACAGUGAGCAAUCACACGAAACUAGGUGCUGCAUGGCUGUCGUCAG
rnacentral:rRNA from 1 species